UACGUAGGGUGCGAGCGUUAAUCGGAAUUACUGGGCGUAAAGCGUGCGCAGGCGGUUAUUUAAGUCAGGUGUGAAAGCCCUGGGCUUAACCUAGGAAUUGCGCUUGAGACUGGAUAGCUUGGAGUGCGGCAGAGGGAGGUGGAAUUCCACGUGUAGCAGUGAAAUGCGUAGAGAUCGGGAGGAAUACCAGAGGCGAAGGCGGCGAACUGGACAGCAACUGACACUCAACUACGAAAGCGUGGGUAGCAAACAGG
rnacentral:rRNA from 1 species